rnacentral:misc_RNA from 1 species
GUCUUUUUUUUUAUUUUAUAUAAAUAAAAUAUUUUUUUAUAAAGAUUGAAAUUUUGAAUACAUAAAAAAUUUCUAAUGAUCCUUCCGCAGGUUCACCUACGGAAA